rnacentral:rRNA from 1 species
GUCCAGACUCCUACGGGAGGCAGCAGUGGGGGAUAUUGCACAAUGGGGGGAACCCUGAUGCAGCGACGCCGCGUGGGCGAUGGAGCGCCUCGGCGCGUAAAGCCCUAUCAGCAGGGAAGAAGAUGACGGUACCUGACUAAGAAGCCCCGGCUAAAUACGUGCCAGCAGCCGCGGUAAUACGUAUGGGGCAAGCGUUAUCCGGAUUUACUGGGUGUAAAGGGGGCGCAGACGGCAGCGCAAGCCAGGAGUGAAAGCCCGGGGCCCAACCCCGGGACUGCUCUUGGAACUGCGCGGCUGGAGUGCAGGAGGGGCAGGCGGAAUUCCUGGUGUAGCGGUGAAAUGCGUAGAUAUCAGGAGGAACACCGGUGGCGAAGGCGGCCUGCUGGACUGCGACUGACGUUGAGGCCCGAAAGCGUGGGGAGCAAACAGGAUUAGAUACCCCGGUAUGU